GACGAACGCUGGCGGCGUGCUUAACACAUGCAAGUCGAACGGUGAAGCUCCAGCUUGCUGGAGUGGAUCAGUGGCGAACGGGUGAGUAACACGUGAGCAACCUGCCCCUGACUCUGGAAUAAGCGCUGGAAACGGCGUCUAAUACUGGAUACGAGAAGGGUCCGCAUGGGCACUUUCUGGAAAGUUUUUCGGUUGGGGAUGGGCUCGCGGCCUAUCAGCUUGUUGGUGAGGUAAUGGCUCACCAAGGCGACGACGGGUAGCCGGCCUGAGAGGGCGACCGGCCACACUGGGACUGAGACACGGCCCAGACUCCUACGGGAGGCAGCAGUGGGGAAUAUUGCACAAUGGGCGAAAGCCGGAUGCAGCGACGCCGCGUGAGGGAUGACGGCCUUCGGGUGGUAAACCUCUUUCAGCAGGGAAGAAGCGAAAGGGACGGUACCUGCAGAAGAAGCACCGGCGAACUACGU
rnacentral:rRNA from 1 species